rnacentral:lncRNA from 1 species
UUGACAACCUUGGGCAAGGUCACCCGUCACCUCGUCUUCACUCUCGUUCUUCUCUUAAUUAUCUUGCCCGUGAGAGGUGAUCCUCCUUUAAAUCACAGUCAGUCCUUUCUAUUUUUUUCUUACUCGCUAACUCACUAAUCUUUUACAAACCACAUGCAAAGCAGGAGAUGUUGCUGCCUUCGAGCCGAAACCGAGAAUCAAAUAUCUACCGCCCGGCAUGGUCAAGGGCGAUGCCAAAUCUCAAUGCGGAACGUGCAAGUGCUGCGCCACCAACAACCCCAAUAACUGUUCAAAUAUGCAGUGCUGCUACCACGUCGAAUGCGGCUAUGUCGGCCAGCCUGACGUCGAAUGCAACAUGGUGAUCGACGCCUGCAACUGUAAUUCAUGCGGUUGAUCCUUCUAAAUACAUUAGGAUAGAAUAAAUUUAGUAAUUGAAUAAAUUGGGUAGUUGGCACGGGCAAACAAUUUUG